rnacentral:rRNA from 1 species
GACCUGGCUCAGAAUCAACGCUGGCGGCGUGCCUAACACAUGCAAGUCGAACGAGAAAGCGGGGGCAACUCCGUGAGUAAAGUGGCGCACGGGUGAGUAACACGUAGCUAACCUACCCUCGAGUGGGGGAUAACCUGGGGAAACUCGGGCUAAUACCGCAUAACAUCCCGCAAGGGAUCAAAGGCCCGCAAGGGCCGCUCGUGGAGGGGGCUGCGGCCGAUUAGCUAGUUGGUGAGGUAAUGGCCCACCAAGGCGAUGAUCGGUAGCCGGCCUGAGAGGGCGCACGGCCACACUGGCACUGAAACACGGGCCAGACUCCUACGGGAGGCAGCAGUGGGGAAUUUUGCACAAUGCCCGAAAGGGUGAUGCAGCAACGCCGCGUGGAGGAUGAAGGUCUUCGGAUCGUAAACUCCUUUCGACCGGGAAAAAUGGGCGGGUGAAGAGCCCGUUCUGAUGGUACCGGUGGAAGAAGCCCCGGCCAACUACGUGCCAGCAGCCGCGGUAAUACGUAGGGGGCGAGCGUUGUUCGGAAUUACUGGGCGUAAAGGGCGUGUAGGCGGUGCGGUAAGUCAGGCGUGAAAUCCCCGGGCUUAACUCGGGGCGGUCGCUUGAGACUGCCGUGCUCGAGUGUGGGAGAGGGAAGCGGAAUUCCCGGUGUAGCGGUGAAAUGCGUAGAUAUCGGGAGGAACG